rnacentral:rRNA from 1 species
AUACGGAGGAUGCAAGCGUUAUCCGGAUUUAUUGGGUUUAAAGGGUGCGUAGGCGGUUUGCUAAGCGGGAGGUGAAAUGCCGGCGCUCAACGUCGGAAGUGCCUCCCGAACUGGUGGACUGGAAUGACUCUGCCGUGGGAGGAAUGUGUAGUGUAGCGGUGAAAUGCAUAGAGAUUACACAGAACACCGAUUGCGAAGGCAUCUCACGAAGGGUUGAUUGACGCUGAGGCACGAAAGCGUGGGGAUCAAACAGGAUUAGAUACCCUGGUAGUCCACGCAGUAAACGAUGAUGGCUAACCGCUGGUUUUUUCGGAUCAGUGGCCAAGCGAAAGCGAUAAGCCAUCCACCUGGGGAGUACGACCGCAAGGUUGAAACUCAAAUGAAUUGGCGGGG